AGGUAACGCGUAUGCAACCUACCUAUCAGAGGGGGAUAACCCGGCGAAAGUCGGACUAAUACCGCAUGAAGCAGGGGCCCCGCAUGGGGAGUAUUUGCUAAAGAAUUCAUCGCUGAUAGAUAGGCAUGCGUUCCAUUAGGCAGUUGGCGGGGUAACGGCCCACCAAACCGACGAUGGAUAGGGGUUCUGAGAGGAAGGUCCCCCACAUUGGUACUGAGACACGGACCAA
rnacentral:rRNA from 1 species